rnacentral:rRNA from 1 species
AUUGAACGCUGGCGGCAUGCUUUACACAUGCAAGUCGAACGGCAGCACGGGUGCUUGCACCUGGUGGCGAGUGGCGGACGGGUGAGUAAUACAUCGGAACGUGUCCAGAAGAGGGGGAUAACGCAUCGAAAGAUGUGCUAAUACCGCAUAUGCUCUGAGGAGGAAAGUGGGGGAUCGAAAGACCUUGCGCUUUUGGAGCGGCCGAUGUCUGAUUAGCUAGUUGGUGGGGUAAGGGCCUACCAAGGCGACGAUCAGUAAUUGGUCUGAGAGGACGACCAGCCACACUGGGACUGAGACACGGCCCAGACUCCUACGGGAGGCAGCAGUGGGGAAUUUUGGACAAUGGGCGCAAGCCUGAUCCAGCAAUGCCGCGUGAGUGAAGAAGGCCUCGGUUGUAAG